rnacentral:rRNA from 1 species
CCUACGGGUGGCAGCAGUGGGGAAUAUUGGACAAUGGGCGAAAGCCUGAUCCAGCCAUGCCGCGUGUGUGAAGAAGGCCUUCGGGUUGUAAAGCACUUUCAGUGGGGAAGAAAGCCUUGGGGCUAAUACCCUCGAGGAAGGACAUCACCCACAGAAGAAGCACCGGCUAACUCCGUGCCAGCAGCCGCGGUAAUACGGAGGGUGCGAGCGUUAAUCGGAAUUACUGGGCGUAAAGCGCGCGUAGGCGGUCUGAUAAGCCGGUUGUGAAAGCCCCGGGCUCAACCUGGGAACGGCAUCCGGAACUGUCAGGCUAGAGUGCAGGAGAGGAAGGUAGAAUUCCCGGUGUAGCGGUGAAAUGCGUAGAGAUCGGGAGGAAUACCAGUGGCGAAGGCGGCCUUCUGGACUGACACUGACGCUGAGGUGCGAAAGCGUGGGUAGCAAACAGGAUUAGAUACCCGUGUAUC